rnacentral:misc_RNA from 1 species
AUUGGUAUGAGAAGCUUCCAGGAACUUCCUGUGCAGGGUGCAAGCCCUUAGCACCGGGAUCUUCUGGUAAAUUUUGGAGGGAGGGUCUUCGGACCCUCUUUUUUUUUUUAUUUUUUU